rnacentral:rRNA from 1 species
AGAGUUUGAUCAUGGCUCAGAACGAACGCUGGCGGCAGGCUUAACACAUGCAAGUCGAACGUGAAGCUGGAGCUUGCUCCAGUGGAAAGUGGCAGACGGGUGAGGAACGCGUGGGAAUUUACCUAGUGGUUCGGAAUAACUUCAGGAAACCGGAGCUAAUACCGAAUACGCCCUUCGGGGGAAAGAUUUAUCGCCAUUAGAUGAGCCCGCGUCUGAUUAGCUAGUUGGUGGGGUAAAAGCCUACCAAGGCAACGAUCAGUAGCUGGUCUGAGAGGAUGAUCAGCCACACUGGGACUGAGACACGGCCCAGACUCCUACGGGAGGCAGCAGUGGGGAAUAUUGCACAAUGGGCGCAAGCCUGAUGCAGCCAUGCCGCGUGAGUGAAGAAGGCCUUAGGGUUGUAAAACUCUUUCACCGGUGAAGAUAAUGACGGUAGCCGGAGAAGAAGCCCCGGCCAACUCCGUGCCAGCAGCCGCGGUAAUACGGAGGGGGCUAGCGUUGUUCGGAAUUACUGGGCGUAAAGCGCGCGUAGGCGGGCUGGUCAGUUGGGGGUGAAAUCCCGAGGCUUAACCUCGGAACUGCCUCCAAAACUGCCAGUCUAGAGAUCGAGAGAGGUGAGUGGAAUUCCUAGUGUAGAGGUGAAAUUCGUAGAUAUUA